rnacentral:rRNA from 1 species
UGGGGAAUAUUGCACAAUGGGGGAAACCCUGAUGCAGCGACGCCGCGUGAACGAAGAAGGUAUUCGUAUCGUAAAGUUCUGUCCUAUGGGAAGAUAAUGACAGUACCAUAGAAGAAAGCUCCGGCUAAAUACGUGCCAGCAGCCGCGGUAAUACGUAUGGAGCGAGCGUUGUCCGGAAUUAUUGGGCGUAAAGGGUACGCACGCGGUUUAAUAAGUCGAAUGUUAAAGAUCGGGGCUCAACCCCGCAAAGCAUUGGAAACUGAUAAACUUGAGUAGUGGAGAGGAAAGUGGAAUUCCUAGUGUAGUGGUGAAAUACGUAGAUAUUAGGAGGAAUACCAGUAGCGAAGGCGACUUUCUGGACACAAACUGACGCUGAGGUACGAAAGCGUGGGGAGCAAACAGG